UUGUUUUUUCCCCUUAAAUCCAUUUAUAUUUCCAUGAAAAACGUCCAGUUUGCUUCUUAUUUUGGGUUUGAAAGUGAAGAUUUUUCGUCUCUAAUCAGAUCAGUCUUCAUUUGAAACAUUUCCCCAGGCUGUCAUGAUUUUAAUGUAAAGUCGUAGUUUUGUCCCGUGCCGCAGACGGCCCUCGCCCCCCACUUUGAACACCUCGGUGUUCUCUCUUCUUCGUUCCGAUGUUUUCCAGCCGGCUGUCGGAUCAGGUCCGCAUUCCUCCGGUUAUCUGUCUGGGCCUUAUCAGGAGCGCCCGCAGUCUGGAGCGGAGGACGUACCAUCAGAACCUGAGGAGAAGCUGCUGUUUAAGGAUCAGAACCUCAGCGACGGAGCGGAGGGUGUUGGUGCGUUUCUGCGCUGAAAGACGGCUUUAUUCCCCGGUUCUGCUCACAGGCGCUCAUUGUUUUCUGGACCGGUCAGCAGAGAUCGCACAGAACGACAAUCACCUUUAGACCUGAUGGCCACAAACCGACGGAGGAGGCUUACCCAAGAUUAUCUGCCUGAUCCGACUGCAGCUGCUGUCCAAUACAAGCAGCUUCAUCACAGAUGCAUGAUGGUCAUUUCUGUCGAUGCCUGUUUCAGUUCCAACCCGCCGCAGCAUCAGUGCGGUGGCCAGUGAGAUAAAUCAUCACAAACCCCGGACGAGCCCCCAGUUUAUCAUGAACCAUCUCACUGGCUGUGACCAGCCAAGGGCACCGCUAGCUAAAAGGGACACAGCGCCUCAUUGUAGCCGGGCCCACGCCGCUCCGCCGGCUCCAACAUGGAGGUCAAGCAGCAGGACAGGAGUCGCAUCUGAUGUUCAGGAGAGAAGCCUGGCUUUAUUUUAUUCUACUGGAAAUAAAGUAAUAAAUGACAAACAGAAACUUUCCAGAAGGGAGGAGCUGCAGUCAGUCUGUUGUGCUGACAUGAAUCCACCUCAGCUUUCUGUAAACUGGACUCUUCAGCUGCUACUGCAUGAAGGACAACCGAAUUUAUGGGGUUUUGGGUCCCGACAAAGAUUUAUAAAUGUGUUUCAUUCAAGGCAACUUCCCCUUUCAGCUGAAUUUAGUGGAAAAGACAUAAAAACAACUUUUCAUCCUGUUGAAUAAAUGUUCUCUCUUUUACUGUUGGCCAGGAGGUGAAACUAAAACAAUCAUUAAACCUCAAAUCAACUUUUCUUUGGCAGAUAAACUCUCUAAAUCUGUUGUUUGGGGUGCUAUCUUCAUACUUCUGUACAAAUUGUAACAUUCUUGUGUAAAUUUGUUCUGAGUGGAAUGUUUAUAUAUAAUUUUAAUAAUUUUUACAUGUGUAUUUAAAAUUAAAACAUUUCAACUAACUAUCUACCUAUUAUGUAAAUGUAACAUUUUGUUUAUGUAUUCCUGUUUUCAGGAGGAUUGUGGCUCUUUUGGCCCAACAGUUUUCUGAAAAGUCAGAUUUUAAUGCAGGUGUUCUGAUGUAUUUCCCAGUUGGAUAACUGCAAAUUAAUUAAACUUGAUGCCUCAAAUUACACAGCAGACUAAUUAAUAAUCAGUUCUUUGUCUAAUAGAAUGAGAUUUUGUAUUUAUUGCUGUAGAUCUGCAGAGCCUCUGGGUUAUUGUUUUGAUGAAACGGCACCAUCUAGUGGUAGAAAGAGAGAUCGUCCUAAAUGUCUCAUCCGGGUUAUCAAGUCAGCUGAUCAAAACACGGAAGUGUUUGCAGCUGUGCAGCUUUUGGAGGAUGUGAGCAGCACAGGAUCUGCUUAGAUGUGGAGAACCUUCUUUUUGCUCAUUUUUAAAUGGUUUUCAUCAACGUUUAACGGUUAAAGGCGACGCUGGAGCGGAACCGGUGAGUUCGGACGGACUUGGAAUUUUUUUCUGUAUCUGAUGACGACGAUGAAGGUGUUUCGCUGUCCUGGUCGCCAUGGUUACGCCGUGGAGGCGUCGCCGUUCCUCCCGAACCGACUGGCCUGCGCGGCGUCCCAGUUCUACGGAAUAACCGGUUCUGGUUCUCUGUUUGUUCUGGAUCAGACUGAAACUGGGGUUGUUUUAGUGAGAAGGUAAAGUUUCUGGAUUCUUUCCUUCAUUUUUUAUUUUUUACCACAAACAGGAAGUGCAUAUGUGUCCAGAUUCAGAUUAGAAUGUGUAAAACUCUUAGACCGCUCAUUAUUUCUUUUUUGUGGUGGCGAAACGCUGAAAACACACAGAAUGAAUGAUGCAAAAUCCAAAACACACAAAGAAAAAAUUUGAAUGUUAACAGAAAAACGCUGCAAUCACAGGAACCAGAAGCAAAAGGAAAAACAAGCUACACGAAGCAGAAGUCCUCCAGGCCACCAGGGGGAGUCUGGAGUCGGCCAUAUUAGCUACACAAAUAUGCUGCUGCUCUCUACGAUUGUGAAAACCAUGAAGGAUAGAAAACCUUUUCCUUCUUCCACUCAACUUUCUUCUGGAAUCCCGUCAUUCCUGAGUUUGUAGUUCCUGAUGAAGCGGUCGGCUCCCCCUGCUGGUCUGGAGGACUAACGUCUGUGGAGUCAGUUUGGAGCGUUUUAUUCUUGCUGAUGUUUUUGCUUCCGUUUCCUGUUCUGGUGCAUUUUAAUGUUAGCUGCAGUUUGGCUCCUUUCAGCCACCGUAGUUUAAUUUCCUGCUGACAAACUUUAAUGUUCAGAGUUUCUGGAGGAUUUCCAGAGAAUUUAUUGGGCUUGGGCUCCUUUACUCUCUCUCUCUG